rnacentral:rRNA from 1 species
GAUGAACGCUAGCGGCAGGCUUAAUACAUGCAAGUCGAGGGGUAGCAAGAUUGUAGCAAUACAAUUGUUGACGACCGGCAAACGGGUGCGGAACACGUACACAACCUUCCUACAAGUGGGGAAUAGCCCAGAGAAAUUUGGAUUAAUACCCCGUAACAUAGCGAUGUGGCAUCACAUUGCUAUUAUAGCUUCGGCGCUUGUUGAUGGGUGUGCGGCUGAUUAGAUAGUUGGCGGGGUAACGGCCCACCAAGUCUACGAUCAGUAGCUGAUGUGAGAGCAUGAUCAGCCACACGGGAACUGAGACACGGGCCCGACUCCUACGGGAGGCAGCAGUAAGGAAUAUUGGACAAUGGACGCAAGUCUGAUCCAGCCAUGCCGCGUGAAGGAUUAAGGUCCUCUGGAUUGUAAACUUCUUUUAUCUGGGACGAAAAAAGGCGAUUCUUCGUCACUUGACGGUACCAGAUGAAUAAGCACCGGCUAACUCCGUGCCAGCAGCCGCCGUAACAC